CUGAACUAAGCAUGAAAAGUUUGUGACGAAACGAAUUAAUAUGAACCAUGUUUUAUGAUUGGCUUGCUUAAACCAGUGAGCUCACUCUCUCUAUAUAUCUGUAGAGAUAUGUUACAGUAAUUAUGCUUGCCAGCGUGAAACACUAAAAACUUUAAGGUUAUUUUUCUUAUUCUUACCUCUCCCACAGUUUCUUCGGUUAAACUAUUUCCACAUUUCCCAUUCCCCAGCCCACCAAUCCCUAUUCUAUACGGUUUUGUGGUUCUCCCACUCACUGUCGUGGUGGGCCUCAAUUCGCACACACCCUGGUUUUCCAGUACUCCCGUCUUCCUGCUCCCAAUUUCUCGAGCACCAUUCCCUGUUUGCUCCACUUCCACACCCCCCCUUCCUUAAAUUUCCGAUUCCAUAUUUUAAAGAUAGCCGGGCUAGUUCUAUUUAGAAAAUUUAUUCGUACGUCUGUUAGUCGUCUGUACUCGUUUGUCACUCGGGUGUAGUUUCAGAAUAGAUCAUUCGGAUCUAAGAAAGUGAAACCAUAAUGGCGGAAGUGACGUACAUUAGCUAGGAAGGUUUGAAACAGUCUUCUAGUUUUCUCUAAGGAAACGUAUCGCUAUACCGGAGGUGUUACUGACGUCCAAUAGCUGUAUUUUUGGCUUCACUUUUUUGGGCAGGAGUUCUCGCUUCAGAUAAAUAUGGAGCUCCCUGGCUUAAACAGAAGUGAUCAGUAUUUGUGACUUUUUCGUCAAAGUCUGGUUCACACUAGCAAUACUGUCGGCGAUAUUUCUCCUCCUGGCAAAUGUGAUCGAUUGAAUGACAUCCAAAAGAGUUAGAAUUGUUUACUUCUGAAAAGAGACUGUGUACUUUUGUGUGCGAGUUCACUCAUUUGCAUCCGUCAGAAACACAAAAUCACCGACAAAAUUGCUGGUGUGAACCAGGCUUAAAGAAUUUAUUCUUCAGUUCUAUGGUGUUUCAAUGAUUGCUAUAAUAAACCAAUCACAGAACUUGUUCAUAUAGCUUCGUGAUGACCUCAAAAUAUUGACAUUUUGUAUAAAUAUGUCAAUGAUUGACGAAUUGAUUUGAUUGACCUCCUUUUGUAGAUGGAACUCUUGGUGCCUUAACUUUUUUGCCUUAGAUUCUGUGCAAAUAUAAUAAUUCAUAGCCUAGCAAUGAUUUAAUG